CGAGUUUGAUCAUGGCUCAGAACGAACGCUGGCGGCAGGCCUAACACAUGCAAGUCGAGCGAGGACUUCGGUCCUAGCGGCGGACGGGUGAGUAACGCGUGGGAACGUGCCCUUUGGUACGGAAUAGCCCCGGGAAACUGGGAGUAAUACCGUAUGGUGUCUUCGGACUAAAGAUUUAUCGCCAAAGGAUCGGCCCGCGUUGGAUUAGGUAGUUGGUGGGGUAAUGGCCUACCAAGCCGACGAUCCAUAGCUGGUUUGAGAGGAUGAUCAGCCACACUGGGACUGAGACACGGCCCAGACUCCUACGGGAGGCAGCAGUGGGGAAUCUUAGACAAUGGGGGCAACCCUGAUCUAGCCAUGCCGCGUGAGUGAUGAAGGCCCUAGGGUUGUAAAGCUCUUUCAGCUGGGAAGAUAAUGACGGUACCAGCAGAAGAAGCCCCGGCUAACUCCGUG
rnacentral:rRNA from 1 species